rnacentral:rRNA from 1 species
CAGCUUGCUGUUUCGCUGACGAGUGGCGGACGGGUGAGUAAUGUCUGGGAAACUGCCUGAUGGAGGGGGAUAACUACUGGAAACGGUAGCUAAUACCGCAUAACGUCGCAAGACCAAAGAGGGGGACCUUCGGGCCUCUUGCCAUCGGAUGUGCCCAGAUGGGAUUAGCUAGUAGGUGGGGUAACGGCUCACCUAGGCGACGAUCCCUAGCUGGUCUGAGAGGAUGACCAGCCACACUGGAACUGAGACACGGUCCAGACUCCUACGGGAGGCAGCAGUGGGGAAUAUUGCACAAUGGGCGCAAGCCUGAUGCAGCCAUGCCGCGUGUAUGAAGAAGGCCUUCGGGUUGUAAAGUACUUUCAGCGGGGAGGAAGGGAGUAAAGUUAAUACCUUUUCUCAUUGACGUUACCCGCAGAAGAAGCACCGGCUAACUCCGUGCCAGCAGCCGCGGUAAUACGGAGGGUGCAAGCGUUAAUCGGAAUUACUGGGCGUAAAGCGCACGCAGGCGGUUUGUUAAGUCAGAUGUGAAAUCCCCGGGCUCAACCUGGGAACUGCAUCUGAUACUGGCAAGCUUGAGUCUCGUAGA